UACGUAGGGUGCAAGCGUUACUCGGAAUUACUGGGCGUAAAGCGUGCGUAGGCGGUGUGUUAAGUCUGUCGUGAAAGCCCCGGGCUCAACCUGGGAAUGGCGAUGGAUACUGGCUCGCUAGAGUGCGGUAGAGGAGAGUGGAAUUCCCGGUGUAGCGGUGAAAUGCGUAGAGAUCGGGAGGAACAUCAGUUGCGAAGGCGGCUCUCUGGACCAGCACUGACACUGAGGCACGAAAGCGUGGGGAGCAAACAGG
rnacentral:rRNA from 1 species